CCUGAACUUGCCUCAAUUACAUCUUACCGAAAGCCUUUCCUUAUCAGCUUCCAAGAAUCCUGAUUUGUGGCGUAUUGCCUUCAUUAAGGAAUCUUAACUGCUUCAAUUGCUGCAUCACUGCAUGAUCUCGUAAGCAACCUGCAUUAUAUUAUUUUGGAAUAUACCUACCUGUUUCAACCUCUGCAACUCUGCAUGAUCCUGUAUUGCUUUAUCCUAAAAGGUAUUUACCUAUAACUAGCUGCAUUGCAAAGUAUCCUGGAAAUCCCUAACUACUUGGUAUAACUUCAAGCCUGCUUGUAUAC